rnacentral:rRNA from 1 species
UACGGAGGGUGCAAGCGUUAUCCGGAUUCACUGGGUUUAAAGGGUGCGUAGGUGGGCAGGUAAGUCAGUGGUGAAAUCUCCGGGCUUAACCCGGAAACUGCCAUUGAUACUAUUUGUCUUGAAUAUCGUGGAGGUGAGCGGAAUAUGUCAUGUAGCGGUGAAAUGCUUAGAUAUGACAUAGAACACCCAUUGCGAAGGCAGCUCACUACACGAUUAUUGACGCUGAGGCCCGAAAGCGUGGGGAGCAAACAG